rnacentral:misc_RNA from 1 species
UGUGGGAGCGAGCUUGCUCGCGAUGGCGGUGGGUCAGCUUGCCUAAAUGUUGAAUGGGCUGCCGUCAUCGCGAGCAAGCUCGCUCCCACA